GUUUGAUUCUGGCUCAGAACGAACGCUGGCGGCGUGGAUAAGACAUGCAAGUCGAACGCUGAUACACAGGUAGCAAUAUUUUUGUGUCGGAGUGGCGAAUGGGUGCGUAACACGUGGGUAAUUUACCCUAAGGAUCGGAAUAACUCGUCGAAAGGCGAGCUAAUGCCGGAUGUGACUUGAGGAAGACAUCUUCCUUGAUUUAAAGCUGGGGACCCUUCGGGGCCUGGCGCUUUAGGAUAAGCCCGCGGCCUAUCAGCUUGUUGGUGAGGUAAAGGCUCACCAAGGCUAAGACGGGUAGCUGGUCUGAGAGGACGAUCAGCCACACUGGAACUGAGAUACGGUCCAAACACCUACGGGUGGCAGCAGUCGAGAAUCUUUCACAAUGGGCGAAAGCCUGAUGGAGCGACGCCGCGUGGGGGAUGAAGGUCCUAGGAUCGUAAACCCCUGUCAUCUGUGAGCAAGGCUCGAGUCUUAAUACGAUUCGAGUUGAUAGUAGCAGAAGAGGAAGGGACGGCUAACUCUGUGCCAGCAGCCGCGGUAAUACAGAGGUCCCAAGCGUUGUUCGGAUUCACUGGGCGUAAAGGGUGUGUAGGCGGUAGGAAAAGUUUGGUGUGAAAUCUCCGGGCUCAACCCGGAAACUGCACUGAAUACUCUCUUACUAGAGGAUCGGAGGGGAGACUGGAAUUCUCGGUGUAGCAGUGAAAUGCGUAGAUAUCGAGAGGAACACCAAUAGCGAAGGCAAGUCUCUGGACGAUUCCUGACGCUGAGGCACGAAAGCUAGGGGAGCAAACAGGAUUAGAUGCCCUGGUAGUCCUAGCCGUAAACGGUGCACAUUUGCUGUGGGCGGAUUCGACCCCGUCCGUGGCGUAGCUAACGCGAUAAAUGUGCCGCCUGGGGAGUACGGCCGCAAGGUUAAAACUCAAAGAAAUUGACGGGGGCCUGCACAAGCGGUGGAGUAUGUGGCUUAAUUCGAUCAACGCGAAGAACCUUACCUGGCUUUGACAUGCAAGUGGUAGGAACCUGAAAGGGUGACGACCUCGCAAGAGGAGCUUGCACAGGUGCUGCAUGGCUGUCGUCAGCUCGUGUCGUGAGAUGUUGGGUUAAGUCCCGCAACGAGCGCAACCCUUGUGUCCUGUUGCCACUCCGGUUUCGAUCGGAAGCACUCUGGACAGACUGCCUCGCUUAAACGAGGAGGAAGGUGGGGAUGACGUCAAGUCAGUAUGGCCCUUACGGCCAGGCUGCACACGUACUACAAUGCCCGGCACAGAGGGAAGCAAGACCGCAAGGUGGAGCCAAUCCCUAAAAACCGGGCCCAGUUCGGACUGUCGGCUGCAAUUCGCCGGCAUGAAGUUGGAAUCGCUAGUAAUGGCGCAUCAGCUACGGCGCCGUGAAUACGUUCCCAGGCCUUGUACACACCGCCCGUCACGUCAUGAAAGCCGGUUGUACCCGAAGUCACUGAGCUAACCCGCAAGGGAGGCAGGUGCCUAAGGUGUGGCUGGUGAUUGGGAUGAAGUCGUAACAAGGUA
rnacentral:rRNA from 1 species